rnacentral:rRNA from 1 species
UGACCUCAGAAUCAGAC